AGGGUGUAAACGCUGCAGACUUGGUGUUGGGAACCCUUCGGGGGUGCUCAGUGCCGGAGAGAAGUUGUUAAGUCUGCUACAUGGGGAGUACGUCCGCAAGGAUGAAACUUAAAGGAAUUGGCGGGGGAGCACAACAACGGGUGGAGCUUGCGGUUUAAUUGGAUUCAACGCCGGAAAUCUUACCGGGACCGACAGCAACAUGAAGGCCAAGCUGAAGACUUUGCCGGAUUAGCUGAGAGGUGGUGCAUGGCGUAGUCGUGU
rnacentral:rRNA from 1 species